rnacentral:lncRNA from 1 species
CCUUGGUGAUCUGGAGUCUUCAGUGUCCUAUUGUUUUUCCUCAGCAGUGGUCGUUGCUCCUCCUUACAGGUUGGGGUUCCAAUUCCAGUUCAUGGUGGGUGAGCUUGGUUCUGUUUCAGCUCAGGAAGAAGAGUGGCUUUAUAAACCAUUACCAAAUCAAAGCCCCAUCAGAGGAGGACAGAAGCCCCCAUACAUGGGGAUGAAUUAUUUUCAGCUCUUGAUUUUAUGCCAGUGCUAGUGAAAUUUCACAGCUGGUUAUUAAAAAAUCCUGGGGUCAGGGUUACAUGCUAUUUAUGUCACAAGAAGCAGGAGAAAUAAAAUACCCUAAAGAUAUGAAAACAUUUUGUAAAUCGACAUAUUUUUGGCAUAUGUUUCCCUUUCAGGGCCUAGGAGGCAGUGUAUGUGUCUGGUGAAGGGCUGGUAGGGAGACUUCCAUUGAAUUUCC